CAGGGAAUAGUUUAAAUUAGAAUUUCAGCUUUGGGUGUUGACGGUGGAAUGAAAUAUUUCUUCCUUGA
rnacentral:tRNA from 1 species